UCCUGCCAGACUGACUCCAUUCUGAUUUCCUGAUUUGCAGUUCCAAGACACCAAAUGUUCAAAUGGGCCUCUGCUACAAAUUCCCUUUUUCAGCACUGCAAGAUCCUCUUUUCAUUUUCAUGAUUAAGUGCAGCUUGGUAUUUGUUCCGUGAUCAUAAUCAAAAGGCUGGGAUCAGGAUUCUAGAGAUGAAUAAUUUAAGGACAAAGUGAAAUAGAAGUCUUUCCUGUAUGGUGGAAAUCCAUUAGAAAGGAACAAGGCACACUUCCUUUGAAAGAGAAUUCUGAAGCUUUAGUGAACUUAGAUGGAAGUACUUCCCGAUCCCAUCUCCUACUCAUGAACAUUUUUAUGAAAUUCAUAUACACACUGCCAGCAAUAUCAACCAUCAUUGAGAGAGAUACAUUGCUGAAGUCCUCCCAGCUGUGAAAACUUCAACCAGGGCCUUGAAAGGCUUUUGAUGUGUUAUCUUUGGAAUAAGAUUUCCCCAAACAUCUAUAUCCAGCUUUUCUUCCACACUGGGACUAAAGGUUGUCUUCCAUACAGACACUCACCAGACUCGCAGCUCCUUAGCUUGUUAGGUUGUUGUAUUAUAUGUCUUCCUUAGCCAUGGUUAUUUCGAUCAUCGCAGCCUAGAAACUACAUUAUCAUGAAGUGAGAGCAGCUUGAAACAAAACAAACUUUGGAAAAACAAGCAAUUGCUUCUUUUAUUGUCUGUAGGACACCUCGUGGUUAGCUCAUGGUUUGUUAAACAAGCCAUAGCUUAAAGAAAUCAUGACUUGGGGUUAUGUGUGAACCAGGCAAUUAUAUUCUGAAAGCAUUUUCUCCUGUUUUUCCUAAUGCAGACCUUUACAUUACUAUAAAUUAUACAACAGCACCCAAUUUGCACUAAAUGUAGGCCCAAUUUUGUGUUAUAGGAUACCUGUGUUCCAAUGGCUGCAUCCUAUUGUCAUGAAUGAGCCAGCCCCCAGGGAAGGUUUGUAGCCAGCUCCCAGUGACGGAAGUAGCCAGGAAGAGAGAGGGUUAACUGCCAGGCAAGAUGAGCACAGCCCAGUGCCAAUUCCCCUGCCCUUAGGAAUGUCAGUUGAUAAGAGAAUGGUGGAGGGUGAGCCUUAGCCCUGCCAACUCUCUCAAGAAGUGCAAAAUACUGGGAAUAGAGAAGGAAGCAGUUCAUCAGUCAGGAAAGAGUGAAGAGAAUGAGGAAGAGGUGGGAGCUGACCCUCUUAGUCCCAGGUCAUGGCGAAUGGGAGGGCUACAGGAUAGGAGGCAGUGCAAAAGACACCAGAGGGAAAAGUUCACUUGCUUCUGGUCUCACUGGAAGUAGGCUUCAGACGGGUCAUCAUGAUAAAUGAUGGUGACGGCUGUGUUAGAGCUGUUCAGAGUUAUCUCUUUGUUUUGACAAUAAAUCAUCCUUUAAUGAACUACGCUCACUGUGUUAUCAAACCAGGAACUGGACUCCUGACACCUAUGCUGCUUUGGAAAUGUAGGAAUGUAGGAACCACGAGAAAGGAGUAGGAGGUCAUGAGAAGGACCACACAAAUGUCUCUUCUCCAAACUGAUCUUUCAUGAUCCUGUUUACAUGGUUCUUCUUCCUAAGUGUUCUUGGCCCCUUCUCCCAUCUUAUAUUAUUGGAGCUGCCUGGGAU